UGCUAUUGAGCAUCCGACGGACAGUGAGUUCAUUGCAUCAGGGAGGCGGGGUUGAGCUCAGAGCUUUAACAAUGGAGAAGAAGGGCGGUGGCAAGGGGAGAAAGGAGGAGGUCGUUACCAGAGUACACCAUCAACGUCCACAAACGCUUGCAUGGAUGCACAUUUAAGAAGAAGGCACCAAAUGCGAUAAAGGAAAUCAGGAAGUUUGCUCAAAAGUCCAUGGGAACCACUGAUGUCAGAGUGGAUGUAAAGCUCAACAAGCACAUAUGGAGCCGUGGUAUUCGGAGUGUGCCAAGAAGGAUACGUGUCCGUAUUGCAAGGAAGAGAAAUGAUGAUGAAGAUGCCAAGGAAGAGUUUUACUCUCUAGUCACCGUUACAGAGGUCCCUCCAGAGGGAUUUAGUGGUUUGGGCACCAAGGUGAUCGAUGAAGAAGAAGGUUGAACUUAGUUUAAAGUUUAGACCCUAGUUUUUGUUCUAGUUAGGUAAUCCCAAUUUCGGAUGUGUGGCCUGGUUUUGUCUGCCCUUGGAACUUCCAAAUCAGAGUUUUUGAAUUGUUUAAUUAGUGUUUGUCUGUUCAGUUUUUUAAUGAAGACCCUUACAAAUUAAAACCAAGAGAAUUUCUCCUUUUA